rnacentral:rRNA from 1 species
GACGAACGCUGGCGGCGUGCUUAACACAUGCAAGUCGAGCGGUAAGGCCCUUUCGGGGGUACGACGAGCGGCGAACGGGUGAGUAACACGUGGGUGACCUGCCCUCCAGCUCUGGGAUAAGCCUGGGAAACUGGGUCUAAUACUGGAUAUGACUCCACGGUGCAUGUCGUGGGGUGGAAAGCCUUGUGCGGCUGAGGAUGGGCCCGCGGCCUAUCAGCUUGUUGGUGGGGUGAUGGCCUACCAAGGCGACGACGGGUAGCCGGCCUGAGAGGGCGACCGGCCACACUGGGACUGAGACACGGCCCAGACUCCUACGGGAGGCAGCAGUGGGGAAGUCUUGCGCAAUGGGCGAAAGCCUGACGCAGCGACGCCG